CCUGCUCCAGUGUCGGAGGUUUGGGAGAAGAAUAAGCACCAGGGGAGACUGAGACGGAGUGGCCGGGGAGACGGAGGAAAACCAGGAGACCACGGGGUGAAGAAACGCCCGGAGCCAGAGGGAUGAAUGUGGUCAAAGCUGCUAUUCAAGUGAGGCGGGGCUGAGCGAAGGCUUCCACGGAGGCAGCAGAGUCCCGGUUCUCACUCACGACCAGCUUUGCGAGGCUCUGCCUGAGAGAGGUGGCCCCGCGCACGUCAGCUGUGGACGAGGGGGACACGUGCUCCAGCAUGGCCAUCCCGCUCCACCUUCUGCAUUCAUCGCAGGGGACGAGGGCUCAGUGCCAGGCUGCAGGGCGCCCAGCUGUCCCGGCGUCUCCUGAGCUCUGCCCUCCCUCUGGAUCCCCACUCCCUCAGGGCGGAGGCGGACAGCAGGCUGAAGGGAGAACUUCAGUCAGUGGGAAACUUAAUGGAGCAACAGCUGGCCGCCAGCUGUCCUCGCCUUGUCACAGUUCUGAUUACACCUUGCAGGUGAAGAAGAUGAGGCUCAGAGAAGUUAAGUACCACCCAAGGCCCCAAAGCUAGUAAGUGGCAAGCCAGAAGCUUCAGUGUACACUGACCUGAGGUAGAAAAUGCUGACGUCUUUGUUCCUUUGGGUCCAGAACUCCAAAAGAGAUAAGCCCCCAGACCUUUGGUGGUGGCCGUGCAAACGCGCCUCUCAGAUUUCAGACUGGUCCCUGCUGCUGUGCCUGGAUCAUGGCCAUCGCUGUUUGCACUGAGGCCCUCAGGCUGCUUCCAGCCAUUGACUCCGGCAGGUCCCCUCUUGGAGAUGCAAGACCCCCCCCGACAGACAAAUUGGCACAAGGAUUCCCCAAGGGCUUGCUACUUUCUUAUAUCUGAACCACAACCUGAGACUCUUCACCCCACCUUCUGUCCUGCCCUCUCUCCUCCGCAGGGUCCAAACUAUGUCACAGUCUGACGUCCCUCCCAACUUCCCCCUGGCUCCCCGCCCAUCUUCCCUCACAGGUGUCCCCCAUAAAUCUCUUGCACAUAGAGUCCUGUCUUGGUGUCUGCUUCUUCAAGGACCAGAACGAAUGUAAGUAGUCUGAGGAAACAGUGGUAAGAUGGGGAUUUGGGGCUGUCCCACUCAGAGGCAAUGGGGAGGAAGAUGUUGUCCUGAUUGAUAGGAGGCCCCCAGAGAGUCCUUAGAACAAGGCAGCAGCUCAAAUGCUAAACAUUUCACCAGCGAGGACCUGGGAAAAUUUCCUGGAGGAGAGGAAUGCUGGCAGGUGUGAUAAUUCAAGCAUUUGAAAAAUAGAGGGGCAACGAUGCCUUCAAAAAAUUGAAUGGUUACUGCAGAGGGAAGAAGGACUGCGGGCCACUAAUGAGCAGUGGAGGGGUAGGCGUGGAGGCCGAGAGCCCUGCGGUGGCUUACAAAGAGGCCCUUAUCUCUGGCAGUGGAGGGCAGAUACGGCUGAGUGGCGGGCUGAAGACAAACCGUUAGCGUUGCAGAGCGCCAGAUAAGUCUGAAGGCUCAGCCAAGGCGGUUAUGAGAAGAUCGGGCCCUGGUGGGGAAAAUCUGGACCCCUGACCCAUGAGAUAAAGACAUCUGGAUGGAUGCCCUGAAGCCGCCGCGCAGCCUCCCUGACCCUCUGAGCUCGCAGAGGUGGCCCGCCCUUCCGCAGAAGAGCUACCCCUCUGCAGUGCUGAAAGAUUCCCAAGAGGCCUCGCCCCGGCAGGGGCCCUCUCAGUGGCUGCCCCACUGCCUCUCCUGGGUGCCAGGGACAAGCAUUAGGGUUGAAUUCCAGAAUAAUCUGGCUGCAGACAUGCCGGGCCUGAUAAGGGAGGAAAGAGACUAUACCAUGAAAGAUGGUAACUCUCAUGGAUCCUGGAACAAACCAGGGAUGCUCCUGGGACUGGAUUUUGCGAAUGCCUGAUUAAGGAGGCUGGAAUGUAAGACUGGCUAACAAGAAUCCAUCGGCUGGAGGGCACUUUCUUGAGACACAAGAUUUAAUAUCCUAGCGAGGAUACCAGGGGAUGGGGCAGACUCUGCUAGGGUGGCUCUUAGAAGUCUGGAAAAAGUAGUGGCUAACACUCAGUGCAGUGGAAAUACCUGAGUUCUCCUGGCAGAUGGUAGAGAAGAAGUUAAAAAAGCUGAGGAAAGUGGACACGCUGGAACGGAUUUGUUAUCUAAGGCCAGUAAUGACAGGCAAGGACAGAGGGGCAGGCAAGGGGGCUUGACCCACAGAAAGCUGUGGAGAUGGCGAAUGGAGCAGGGUAUCCCCAGGAGCAAACCAGAGGGGCAGCCAAGAAGCCUCUGCUUAAUAUCUACAGCCAGAAAAGCAGACAGGAGUGGAGGAGCAGAAGGCAGGGGCAAUAGGAAGUCACCGUCCCUUGCUCAGUUCCCAGACCUGAACCAAUUUUCAGAUAUGAAACCCGCUGACCGAAGAGGUGGCCAGAUCUCUAGGAAUAGGACCCUGCCAAACCUCAAGUAUGUAUCAUGAUGAUUCCUUCAGGAUUCUUCCAAAGGCCUGUGGCCAUUUGUUUGGGUGAUUGUUCACUAGAGAAAGGGGAAUAACAAGACAUUUGAGGACUAGUAGACACAGAGUUUGAGUUGACGUUAACACCUGGAGACUCAAAGCAUCAUCGUGGGCCUCUUUUCAGAGCCAGGCCAUGGUGGUCAGGCAGUAAGUGGAGUCCUGGCUAAAGUCCGGAUUGCAGUGGGCCUGCUGGGUCCACGAACCCACCCAGAAGCCCCUUGUCCCUGAGAGUGUCAUUCACAUGCUUUGACAGUUGGAGUAACCCCUACCUCAGUCCUGGUCUACUGGGUGGGAGCUAUUAGAGCCAAGAAGGCCAAGUAGAAACUUCUGAAACUGCCGUGCCCCUUCUCCUCGCCCUGCCCGAGAUAGUAAACCAAAAAUAACAUCUCAUCCUAGGGGCUGUGGUAGAAAUUAAUUCCACGACUAACAACUAAGGAUGAAGGAGUGUGGUCCCUACCAUUGAUUUCUUCAUUUAACUCACCAGUCUGACCUCUGCAGAAAUUGGACGGAUUCUGGAGGAAGACCGUAGACCGCCACGGCUUAACCAAGGGGGAGCCCUGCUGGCAGCUGCUGUGCCUGACGUGGAGUCCUUGCCGGAGCAGGUUCACGAGGCCUUAGGUAUGUGGCCAGCAGUAAUUCAUUGCCUGUGGUCUUUUCCAUUCCAAUUAGAAAAGAGGAUCAGAAACAGUUCACAUUCACAUGGGAUGGACAACAAUAUUCAUUUACAGUUUUGCCUCGGGGCUAUGUUAACUGUCUCUCUGACUUAAUAUAAUCCCAAGAGAUCAGGACCGUGAUCCCACAGAACAUCACCCUGAUCCAUUGCAUCGCUGCGCCAUGCUGGUUAGACAGGAUGAGCAAGAGGUGUCCCUAUGCUGGAAGCCGCGGCGAAGUCACACGCACUCCAGAGUGCGGCAUAUAAAACCUAUGACGAUUCAAAGACCUACCACUUCAAUGAAGUUUUGAAGGGGUUCAGUGGUCAGGGGGAUGCCAGGAUAUCCCCUCCCAAGUAAACGAAAUGGCUGCAUUUUGUAUUUCUUACCACAAGAAAGCACAAUGCCUGGUAACCCUCUUGGGGUUAGAGACAACCCAUUAUUCUGGGUGACAAGGAAGGCUGCCAGCUGUAGGUGGGCCCCAGGACGGGAAGAGGCUCUGCUGAAGGUUUAGGCUGCAGUGCAAGCAGUCCUGCCAUUUGGGUUAUGCUGUUUGGCAGACUCUCUGGUGCUGGAAUAGUCAAUAGUGGGAGAGGGAAAUGGUGUAGUUGGAGCUUAUGUCAAGUCCCAGUGGGAGAAGUGUAGAGCAGGACCCUGGGAUUCCACGGCAAGGCCACACCAUCGGCAACAGAGGGCUGCAUGCCUUUUGAGAAACUGUUUCUGGCAUGUUACUAGGCUCUGGUAGAGACAGAACACUCGCCCAGGGCACACCAAGUGGGACAUCUGAAACUGCCCUCUGAGCUGGGUUCUGUUGGAUGCAUCAAGUCAUAAAGUCAGAUGGGGCUGACAGCAGUCCGUCAUAAGACAGAAAUGCUGCCUCUGGGACUGAGCCAGACUGAGGCAGAGGGCAUGAGUAAACUGCAUGAGGACAUAGCCAGAGCCCAUUCCCUGGCUUGUACUUAUGGCCACAUGGAGGGUUCUGUACAACCAACUGAAAGAGGAGGAAAAAGCCUGAGCUUGGUUUAUGGACGGGUCAACGUGGCACAUGGGUACAAGCUGAAGAUGGACAGUGGCUGCAUGGCAGGUGUAAGGGAAAGGAAAAUAUUCUUCCUGGAUAGAGCUGUGAGCAGGGCGCUUGCUCACCCACCUUGUUGCACAAGAAAAAGUGGCCCAAGGUGGUGAGAAUAUAUACACCCUCUUGGGCAGUGGCCAAUGGUCUGGCCAUUUGUUCAGGGGCCUGGAAGGAAAAGGACUGGCAGAUUGGGGACAAGGAGGUGUGAGGUAGAGGCAUGUGGAUGGAUGCAGGAGAUAAAGCAUGAAGCGUGAGGGUUGCAGUACCACACACUAAUGCCCAUUAGAAAGCACUCGAAACAGAAGCAGCAGUGAAUAAGCAAGGAAAGAAAAUGUCUUGGACAGUUGACACAAGCCAGUCCUUGUCAUUGGCUACUCUGGAACUGGCAUGAUGGGCAUAUGAGUGGAAUGGCCACAGUGGCAGAGGCAGAAGCCACAGAGGGGCUAACAUGGGCCCAGCAGCACGGACUCCCACGUAUCAAGGCCACUCUAGGAACUGCUGCCUCUGAAUGUCCAACCUGUCAGCAAAAGAGACCAGUGCUGAGCCCCUGCAGUGGCACUGUGUCUCAAGGAGCCCAACUCACCGCUUGAAGGCAAGUCAACUGCAUCAGGCUCCUUCCAUCCCGAAGCGUCAGCGGUUCACCCUCUUUGGGAAAGAGAUCUAUUAUGGGUUUGCCUUUCCUGACCACAGAGCCUCAGUCAGCACCGCUGUCCAGGGACUUACAGAACGCCUGAUCCGAAGGCAUGGAAUUCCACCCAGUACAGCAUUUGACCAGGGACACUGGAGGGUCCCACUGGACUAGACUAUGGCUGCCACCAGGGCACUUUGGAUUCCUUAUGUCCAGGGACCAGCCGGGGGACUUGACCCUGAUCAGCAGGAUUCAGGGCUGCUACUCCAUAAUGGGGACAGGAAGGAAUGUGUGCGCCCAGGUGAUCCACUGAGCACUCCCAGAUGAUCCCCACUGUCAUCAUGAAAGGACAUGCGCAGCAACCCUGACCUGAGAAGGGUUUGAUUACCAAGCCUUGAGGUCCCCUUUCCCCCUUCCCCGGAAUGAAGGCUGGGGUCACACCACCAGGUGAGCCAUCAACCUCUGCCAAGGUUGCUGAGCGUGAGGAGGAUUCAGGAUGGAGGGUAGGGGAGGGAGAGGAUGAGACUAAAUACACCGACGGGGGUUGUAGUUAGUUCUACCAUCUCCCUUUCUCUCUUCUGAGUCUCCCUUAGGAACAGCCCAAGGGAAACAGGCAAGAGCUACCCUCUGUAUCUGGUGGAGAAGCAGCACCGUGUGGCACAAGGGUGGACUGUGACAACCAUGAAGACUUCUCUCGGUUCUCUGGCUGCAGGGAUUGGAAGUGGCCGCCCGCGCCAGCUGCUGUAUCCUGAAAUCUAUUACUGAGUUUGCACUAAGAAUGCACUUCCCACGAGCUGCUGCCUGCCAGUGACUGAGCGUGGCGGGGAUCCUGGCAGGCCGUCCUCAGGAGAUUGCCGAUGGCUUGAGGACUUCUCACCUGCCUUGCCGAGCCUCGUUAGCCCCGCACUGCGGUCUAAGUCUCCUCCGCCCACCUCUCCUUCCUUCUCUCUUUCACAAGGUCACACCCGCACCAUGGUCUCCUGGCUCUCCCAGGCUCCCCUGCUUCCCUUCCAUUACAAUUUGAGAAGCACUGAUUUAGAUGAUUUUGUCUUUAAAUCCUUUAAAUCUCAGUUUGGAACCUGAGUCUUUGCAAAGGUAAACAGUUGGAAUCACAAAACCAUCUGGGUCCUUCAUUUUGUAGGUCAAAGCCCAGCAAAGUUAAGGCACUAGUUCAAAGUCAAAUGGCGAACUAGAAUAGAGCCAGCACCCAGGGGUCUUACCCGCCAGCUCUUCCCACUGUAGGCUCUUCUGUGAGCAGGCUGCUUGCUCUAAAUGUGCAUUGUCUAGUGUGGUAGCACCGGAAAUGUGGCUAGUUGUGGUGUAAUAGAAAAACACUUGGUCUUUGUCCUGGGUUCCUGGCCUGGAGUCCCUCAAACCCUUAGAAUUUCCUGGGUGAUGGCAUGUCUCUCGUUAUUCACAAGGAGUGCCUCUGACCACUCCUGUGUUUAUGCGAACGAAGUGACUCACGGUGGGGCCCUAGAUAGCUUCAGGAUGGGCGCUGGUCAUUGGAAAGACCAAACAUGUGCAUAGAGGGUGGGAACUUGCAGCUUCAGGGGAGGUGGUGGGGGCUGCAGAAUGAGUUAUAAAAACUCUUGAACAAGAUUCAAAGAGCUCCCGUUUGGUGACCACAUUGAGACGCUGGGAGGGUGGAGGCCCCGAGAGGGCAUGGAAGGUCUGCACUACCCCUUCUCCCAUAGCCUGCCCUACGCUUCUUUUCCACGUGGCUGUUGUGGAGUUGUACCUUCAAAAUAAACUGAUAAACAUAAGUAAAGUGUUCUCUUGAGUUCUGUGAGCUCUUCUAAUCAUUGAACCU